AACCUCCUUCCUCCAAAACGCAGACCCCUGCCAUCUCCUUCUUCCUCCAAAACAAAGACCCCUGCCGUUCCUUUCUCUUCUCUAUUUCUAGCCUCUUCUUCCCCAAAACCCAACACUGAAAAUCAAUCUUGCCAAGAAGUCAUGCCCACACUGUCAGGUCCAAAAUAGAAAGAAGGCAUCACCGAUCUUUCCACGAUGCUACUCACAAGGACCGAUCUCUACCUUUGAGCACUGACGACAGCCAUCAAAACUGGGCAUUAUACUCCGGCUGAAUUUAUUCAGCCCAUUGUAUAUUUCAAUUAUGUCAGUUGGCAAAGGGAGGCAUUAUUCAUCAAGAUUCUGCAGGCCAUAAGGAUACAAUUGGACCCUGUGAUGUGCAGAAAAAGAAAAAAAGAAGAGAUUGUUGGCCAAUAAAUGAGGAAGAGCAGGGCAAAGGGAAGAUGGGGCAUUGCAAAGCCAAUACUCACUUUGAUUGGUAAUCUGGUACCUUCUUUGUUUACUGCAUAAUUAUAUUUUUUUAGAAUUUGUUAUUCUUAUUCCAUUGAUGUUGUGAGCUGUAGAUGGUUCUCUUAAAAAAGAACCACUAUAGGCAUGAGAAUUACAAUUUUCAUAAUGAUUUAUGCAUUAGUUAGAGAUAAUAAGUGCUCAGGUAUAAUAUUUCCAUCAUUUGUGAACAAAUCCUUGGAAGUUAAGAGUUCAGUACCACUGACAUCUACAUUCUUUAAAUGCUUUAGAUAUUUAAGCAUGCGCAACUAAAGAUAAAUGAGCUAUGUAGUAGGAGAAUUGUACAUAUUUUUAAUUACUCUAAGUCACUUUUACCCAAGUCAACAAAACUUUGAGUUGAAUAGCUGACUGAAUUCAAAUAUAAGAAUCAUGAGUGUAAGCUGUUAUGUCCUUCACAAAUCUGUUAAGAAAAUUAUUGGACUAGCCUUGGCCCUAAUGUAGCACAAAAUGCUACAGUAAAUGCUGUUAACCCAACCAAUUAUGACCAAAUGAAACAAUUAACAUCAUAGCAUUAUGUAUUUUAAGUUGAAAUUAUUUUGUAUUUCAAAGUUGUUUCUAUGUUAAACUACUUCCAAAAUGUCCUGAUUUUCUAUACUUAUGCAUUCAGACUGC